GGCUGGUCCUCGCGUACUUGUCACUGGUAUAAUUGGUCAGGUUCGGAAGGAAGCAGCCAGGAUCAGCGUUCAAGGUACCGCGAUACGGUCGGUCUGU
rnacentral:SRP_RNA from 1 species